rnacentral:rRNA from 1 species
UGAUUGCUUCAUAAUCAGUAAGGCCUGCUCAAUGAGAAUUAAAUAGCCGCGAUUACGUGCUAAGGUAGCAUAAUAAAUUGCCUUUUUAUUGAAGGCUAGAAUGAAAGGCUCUACAAAUAAAAUUCUUUAUUGAUUUUAUUUCUUUAAACUAAUCUAUAAAUAAAAAAGUUUAUAUAUGUAAGGAGGACGACAAGACCCUAUCGAGCUUUACUAAAGUUUCACUGGGGAGGUGAGGAAAAAAAUCCUUUUUUUCUUCUAAGAAAGGAUAAUUCAGAAAGAAUUAUGAACUAGCUACCGUAGGGAUAACAGCACAAUUAAUUUUAGGAGAUCUUAUCUUAAAAUUAGAUUAUGACCUCGAUGUUGAAUUAAAGUACCUAUGGGAGAAAAAGCUUAAAAGGAAAGUCUGUUCGACUUUUAAAACUUU